AUGACGUCACAAAAUGUCAGUAAGACUAAGGCUAUGAAAAAUAAACUAUGUGAUGUCUACCACUAUCAAUAACUGAAUAUGAAGAUUUUUUCCCCCGAUGGAAGUUGGAGAACUAAAAAAGGAGUGAAAUUCAAACACUAAGGUUCAGUAGUAAAAGGUGCUGUAUUUCUGCUUCUCCAUUCAAAAUGUAAAGACAUUCCUUUUUUAACUUGGGACAUGUGGAGAAAAUAUGACCUCUUACAGGCAAGUAGUUGAGGGUGAGAAGAUGCAUGGACCGCCUCAAAACAUGUUGAAGAGCACGUUUUAGAAGAUCCUGAAUGUGGAAAUAUACCCUUGGGUCCUCAAGACAGCAGCAUCUGGUACAACUCUUUGACACUUUGAAAUGUAUCCGGUUCCUCAUAAUUUGUCACCAUGUCCAGUCAUCAUCAGAGUGGUUUCCUCUGACAGCAGAUGGAAGCAAGACGCAGAGAUCCACAUUCAGAUCUUGUACCUAAACUGGAGGUCUCCAACCGGUCCCUCUCCUUGGAGAUCUGGGAACCCCAUGGGAGAAAGAGAGGAACGAUUGUAGGAGUCAGAAGGAAGAAGGAAACCAGGAGAAGAUGGUCCAUGGAACCAAGGAUCACUUUGGCUCACAGAGACUGAGUGGCAAACAAGAGACCUGCAAGGGUCUGCACCAUAAAGGGCCUCUCCUUAUAUGUUAUGGCUGUUAGCUUGGUGGUCUUGUGUUACUCUUAAGAGUGGGAGUGAGUAUUAUCUCUGACUCUCUUGAUUGCCUCCCAUUGGAUUGACUUGUCCAGCUGCAAUAUAAAGGGGUUUGUCUUGUCUUAUUGUA
rnacentral:sRNA from 1 species